GACGUAGGGCGCGAGCGUUGUCCGGAUUUAUUGGGCGUAAAGAGCUCGUAGGCGGCUUGUUGCGUCGACCGUGAAAACCCGGGGCUCAACUUCGGGCUUGCGGUCGAUACGGGCGGGCUAGAGUUCGGUAGGGGAGACUGGAAUUCCUGGUGUAGCGGUAAAAUGCGCAGAUAUCAGGAGGAACACCGGUGGCGAAGGCGGGUCUCUGGGCCGAUACUGACGCUGAGGAGCGAAAGCGUGGGGAGCGAACAGG
rnacentral:rRNA from 1 species